AUUGAACGCUGGCGGCAGGCCUUACACAUGCAAGUCGAACGAGUCGCGGACGGGUGAGUAAUGUCUGGGAACCUGCCUGGUGGAUGAGGAUGAGUACGGGAAACUGUAACUACUACCGCCUACCGUCGGCUGUGCCCAGAUGGGAUUAGCUAGUAGGUGGGGUAACGGCUCACCUCGGCGACGAUCCCUAGCUGGUCUGAGAGGAUGACCAGCCACACUGGAACUGAGACACGGCCCAGACUCCUACGGGAGGCAGCAGUGGGGAAUUUUGCACAAUGGGGGAAAGCCUGAUGCAGCCAUGCCGCGUGUAUGAAGAAGGCCUUCGGGUUGUAAAGUACUUUCAGCGGGGAGGCGUUACCCGCAGAAUAAGCACCGGCUAACUCCGUGCCAGCAGCCGCGGUAAUUC
rnacentral:rRNA from 1 species